AUACGGAGGGUGCAAGCGUUAUUCGGAAUCACUGGGCGUAAAGGACGCGUAGGCGGGUUGGCAAGUCAGAUGUGAAAUCCUACAGCUUAACUGUAGAACUGCAUUUGAAACUGCUAACCUAGAGUAUGGGAGGGGGAGAUGGAAUUAGUGGUGUAGGGGUAAAAUCCGUAGAUAUCACUAGGAAUACCGAAAGCGAAGACGAUCUCCUGGAACAUAACUGACGCUAAGGCGUGAAAGCGUGGGGAGCAAACAGGAUUAGAUACCCCAGUAGUCC
rnacentral:rRNA from 1 species